AGAAUACUCCGUCUCUCCAACAAAAGAUGUCUCAAAUUUAUCAAAAUUUGAAUGUACGUAGACAUCAAUUAGUGUAUAAAUGCAUUCAAAUUUAGUCAAAGUUGAGACAUCCUCUAUUGGACGAAGGAAGUAGAAU
rnacentral:pre_miRNA from 1 species